UGCCGUAAGUUUUGUGUGCAGCAGGCUCUAUCUUUCUCUCAGAAGUGAGUUGGGUGAGCCCUUGGUAUCCAACCCUCCCUACAGUCACCUCCUUUGAGAAGAAAAAAAUAAGACCCAGAAGGUAGUAUUAUCAUUUAUUGAGUAGCUACACUGUGGCCAGAACUAAGCUUUACAUGUUUUAUAUCACUUAUUUAUCUCAACAAUCUUGAAAGGGUGGUAUUAUUUUCCCCGUCUUAUAGGUGAAGACUCUGAGGUUCAGAAAGUUAAAGUGAUAUCGCCAGGGUUCCUGACUGGUAAGUGAUGGAGGCUGAAUUUGAGCCAGAUCUAUAUGCUCCAUCAUCACUCUCCUGGGGAAAAGAGCCUAGAUGUGUUCUAUCUGCAUUCCUGCUUAGAUUCUGCAUGACUUCUCCUGUCCAUCCCCUUGGCCCCCUCUCCUCUAGUCCAUGAGAUUACAGCUUUGCACACUGACAGGAGGGUCCUUCCUUCUUAGCCUACACAUA
rnacentral:lncRNA from 1 species